rnacentral:rRNA from 1 species
CUACGGGCCGCACCAGUGAGGAAUAUUGCACAAUGGGGGAAACCCUGAUGCAGCAACGCCGCGUGGAGGAUGACGCAUUUCGGUGUGUAAACUCCUUUUAUCAGAGAAGAAAAUGACGGUAUCUGAUGAAUAAGCUCCGGCUAACUCCGUGCCAGCAGCCGCGGUAAUACGGAGGGUGCAAGCGUUAUUCGGAAUCACUGGGCGUAAAGGACGCGUAGGCGGGUUGUUAAGUCAGGUGUGAAAUCCUAUGGCUUAACCAUAGAACUGCACUUGAAACUGGGGACCUAGAGUAUGGGAGGGGGAGGUGGAAUUAGUGGUGUAGGGGUAAAAUCCGUAGAUAUCACUAGGAAUACCGAAAGCGAAGGCGACCUGCUGGGACAUUACUGACGCUGAGGCGUGAAAGCGUGGGGAGCAAACAGGAUUAGAUACCCCAGUAGUC